UCAUCUGAUUUCUGCUGCCUGUCGAAACUGGGACAGAUUUCCCGUCACGCAGCGGGGCAGCUGGAGGCCCUGAACGGAUCCGGAGCAGCGGAGAAACCGAACCUGAGGCGUCACCAGAGCUUCCCCUUCACACCUCAACGUUUUCCCCAGACGUCUGUCAAAUUUCGCCCCUUCUUCACAGGUCGAUAACCUGUGGAUCCGUUCCCAUAGCAACUGUUACGAUGGCAACUGGGAAGCUGAAUUCCGGCACUUUUCUCCUGCCGAUCCGCAGGUCGCAGCGUUAUUUGUGAGCUAUUGUGCGUGGAAACUUCUGCAGGUUUAAUGCGCUCGGUAAAUUGUUGAAGUGGAUCUGUGCAGCGGGAAACUGCAGGAAACCCAUCAACAGAACAACUCCAAACUGUAAACAGAUAGGUUUGCUUGAGCAGAAAUGGAGAAACGUCUUUGCAAUCCAGAAUCCUCAACACUUUCAAAUAAAUAACUUUUUUAUGGACUCGA